rnacentral:rRNA from 1 species
CAGCAGCCGCGGGAAUACGUAGGGUGCAAGCGUUAUCCGGAAUCAUUGGGCGUAAAGAGCUCGUAGGCGGUUUGUCGCGUCUGCUGUGAAAACUGGAGGCUCAACCUCCAGCCUGCAGUGGGUACGGGCAGACUAGAGUGCGGUAGGGGAGAUUGGAAUUCCUGGUGUAGCGGUGGAAUGCGCAGAUAUCAGGAGGAACACCGAUGGCGAAGGCAGAUCUCUGGGCCGUAACUGACGCUGAGGAGCGAAAGCGUGGGGAGCGAACAGGAUUAGAUACCCCGGUAGUCCCUGUCUCUUAUAC